CCUAUUCANGCCUUGUUGGGGGGGAAAGGGCCUACCCAAGGCGUCAACGGGUACCCGGCCUGAAAGGGUGUACGGCACAUUUGGAACUGAAACACGGCCCAAACCCCUACGGGAGGCACCAGUGGGGAAAUAUUGCACAAGGGGCCCAACCCUGAUGCACCGACCCCCCGUGGGGGAAUGACGGCCUUCGGGUUGUAAACUCCUUUCCCUAGGGACAAACCCUUUUAGGUGACGGUACCUGGAGAAGAACCACCGGCUAACUACGUGCCAGCAGCCGCGGUAAUACAUAGGGUGCGAGCGUUGUCCGGAAUUACUGCGCGUAAAGAGCUCGUAGGUGGUUUGUCGCGUCGUCUGUGAAAUCCCGGGGCUUAACUUCGGGCGUGCAGGCGAUACGGGCAUAACUUGAGUGCUGUAGGGGAGACUGGAAUUCCUGGUGUAGCGAUGAAAUGCGCAGAUAUCAGGAGGAACACCAAUGGCGAAGGCAGGUCUCUGGGCAGUAACUGACGCUGAGGAGCGAAAGCAUGGGUAGCGAACAGGAUUAGAUACCCUGGUAGUCCAUGCCGUAAACGGUGGGCGCUAGGUGUAGGCGUCUUCCACGACUUCUGUGCCGCAGCUAACGCAUUAAGCGCCCCGCCUGAGGAGUACGGCCGCAAGGCUAAAACUCAAAGGAAUUGACGGGGGCCCGCACAAGCGGCGGAGCAUGUGGAUUAAUUCGAUGCAACGCGAAGAACCUUACCUGGGCUUGACAUGGACCGGAUCGGCGUAGAGAUACGUUUUCCCUUGUGGUCGGUUCACAGGUGGUGCAUGGUUGUCGUCAGCUCGUGUCGUGAGAUGUUGGGUUAAGUACCGCAACGAGCGCAACCCUUGUCUUAUGUUGCCAGCACAUCGUGACUGAGCUCGAUACUCAUGAUGAGACUGACGGGGUUAACUCGGAGGAAGGUGGGGAUGACGUCAAAUCAUCAUGCCCCUUAUGUCCAGGGCUUCACACAUGCUACAAUGGUCGGUACAGCGAGUUGCCACACCGUGAGGUGGAGCUAAUCUCUUAAAGCCGGCCUCAGUUCGGAUUGGGGUCUGCAACUCGACCCCAUGAAGUCGGAGUCGCUAGUAAUCGCAGAUCAGCAACGCUGCGGUGAAUACGUUCCCGGGCCUUGUACACACCGCCCGUCACGUCAUGAAAGUUGGUAACACCCGAAGCCAGUGGCCCAACCUUUUAGGGGGAGCNUCGAAGUGAUCGGAAGU
rnacentral:rRNA from 1 species